rnacentral:rRNA from 1 species
GGGGGGGGGGGGGGGCGGGGUUGGGGCGGGGGGGGCGAGGGGGGGGGCGCGGCUUGUGGUGGGUGCUCGGGUGGCGAACUGGUUAGUACCCCGUGAGUCACCUGCCCUGGACGUUGGGAUCACUUCCGGCAACUGGGGCUCAUACCGGAUAGGAGCUCCUGCUGCAUGUUGGGGGUUGCACAGUUUCUGCGGUUGGGGAUGGACUCGCUGCUUAUCAGCUUGUUGGUGGGGUAGUGGCUUACCAAGGCUAUGACGGGUAGCCGGCCUGAGAGGGUGACCGGCCACAGUGGGACUGAGAUACGGCCCAGACUCCUACGGGAGGCAGCAGUGGGGAAGAGUGCACGAUGGGCGGAAGCCUGAUGCAGCAACGCCGCGUGCGGGAUGACGGCCUUCGGGUUGUAAACCGCUUUCGCCUGUGACGAAGCGUGAGUGACGGUAAUGGGUAAAGAAGCACCGGCUAACUACGUG